UACGUAGGUGGCAAGCGUUGUCCGGAUUUACUGGGCGUAAAGGGCGUGCAGGCGGUCUGUUAAGUCUAGGGUGAAAGCUCCCGGCUCAACUGGGAGAGGUCCUUGGAUACUGGCGGACUUGAGGGAUGCAGAGGAAAGUGGAAUUCCCGGUGUAGUGGUGAUAUGCGUAGAUAUCGGGAGGAACACCAGUGGCGAAGGCGGCUUUCUGGGCAUUCCUGACGCUGAGACGCGAAAGCGUGGGGAGCGAACCGG
rnacentral:rRNA from 1 species